UACGAAGGGGGCUAGCGUUGUUCGGAAUUACUGGGCGUAAAGGGCUCGUAGGCGGCCAACUAAGUCAGACGUGAAAUCCCUCGGCUUAACCGGGGAACUGCGUCUGAUACUGGAUGGCUUGAGUUUGGGAGAGGGAUGCGGAAUUCCAGGUGUAGCGGUGAAAUGCGUAGAUAUCUGGAGGAACACCGGUGGCGAAGGCGGCAUCCUGGACCAACACUGACGCUGAUGAGCGAAAGCCAGGGGAGCAAACGGG
rnacentral:rRNA from 1 species